rnacentral:rRNA from 1 species
UACGGGGGGGGCAAGCGUUGUUCGGAAUUACUGGGCGUAAAGGACUCGUAGGCGGCCAACUAAGUCGGAUGUGAAAUCCCCAGGCUUAACCUGGGAACUGCAUCCGAUACUGGAUGGCUUGAAUCCGGGAGAGGGAUGCGGAAUUCCAGGUGUAGCGGUGAAAUGCGUAGAUAUCUGGAGGAACACCGGUGGCGAAGGCGGCAUCCUGGACCGGCAUUGACGCUGAGGCGCGAAAGCUAGGGGAGCAAACGGG